UUAAGACUAAGCUAGCACAUGAGAAAUCCUAGUCUUUGACCAAGCAGCAUUUGUACCUAAUAUAAGUCUUUGUGUGUUAUUUGGGGCCCUAACUCGGCAAGGAGGACUCAGGCAGCCUGGCAGAAAGAGCCCACGUGGAGGCAGGGCACAGGUGGCUUUGGCAUAAAGCCUUAUUGUUACAACCAUGGACCCAGACAUGGCCAUCAGCAAGAGUUGGUCCCAGUUGUCACAAUGGCCCUGGGGAAGUAGGGCAGGUCUCUCAGACUGGAAUGGGCUAGCUGCCAUAGGGAUACAGUGUUUUUAAUUUUAAGAAGUAAUUUCUUGAGAAAAACUUGUAGUUUAUGAUAUGAAAGCCAUAGCAACUCUUUUUAAAGCAGAUUCAUGUGUCAUCUUUUUGGGGAAUGUUAGCAUGCAUCUCCAGGUUGAGUUUGGUCAGCUUUUUGUUGUUUAGAAUUACUGUUUAACUGAAUUAAGGAUCCGGACACCAACUUGUACCUAUAAUUUUAGCCUUUUAAUGCAUUUGAGUAAAGAAAUAUCCCUCAUAUUUUGUUUUGUUUGUAUUCUAAUAUUUGAACAUUUCUUUAUUUAAUAGACAUCUGUCGGUCAUAUAGCACUUGUGAAGGUCAGAGGAUGACUUGUGAGAGUUGAUUCUCUUCUUCUAUUAUGUGGUUCCCUGGUUAGAAUCCAGGUCACCAAGCUUGGUUGCCAGCACCUUCUCCCACUGAGCCAUCUGGACAUCUCUGUUAUAAUGAAGACUUUCUUCUGCCUCACCAUCUCAGUAACUAGGAACUUCUUCAGAGGUCAGAUGAGAGUGUCAUAUUCCCAAGGAAACAGAGGCAGAAACAGUUGUGAUCCUCCAAAUGGGUGCUGUGAAUUGAACCCAGUUCCUCCAAAAGAGCAACCAGUGCUCUUAACUCUUGAGUUACCUCUGAAGACCCAAAAGUCAUACCCUUAAUUGGAGAAACCUCACUUUGAAUGAUCAUAAAUAAAAAGUACAUUGAUGACACAUUAAGUAAUUUGGAAACUAUUUAAACAUAAACAUUGUCAUAUAUUUCAAAAACAAUUGUUAUUAUUGUAAGGUAAAAUCAUCUCCAAAAAAUUUCAUUUAGCUAUAAAAAUGAUUUUGAAGAAUGAGAAGAAAAUCUCUGAAAAUAAGACUAUUAAGGCUGGAUAGAUGGAUCAACAGUAAAGCAUGGCUGUUUCUAUUACAGAGGAACAGAGUUCAAAUCCUAGCACCUAUAUUCCUUAACCCAGAGCCACAUGGGACUCGAUCUCCAGGGAUCCUAUUCUCUCUUCCAGCUUCCAUAAGUACCAGCAUUCACAUAUACUCAUAAAUACACACACAUGUACACACACACACACACACACACACACACACACACACAAACUGUAUAGUGUUAACAUAUAGUUCAUGUGUAAUAUACACAGCCAAUAUCAAAUAUAUAACAUCAAUAGUGCUAAAUAAAAGAUCAAUAAAAUUCCUAAAAAUAAGUAAACACAAAGUCCAACUUUGAAUUUUCUAGAAAUCCCCAAGUGAAAUUUGCUUCCCACUCUUGUUGACAAUAGGAAGUUUUCACUUUAAAUUAACACACAUAUCAAUCACAGAACCUGUGUGUCAUGUCUUCCUACACAGAUAGAAUAUGGCAUUUACCAGUAGAAAUAAAUUGUGCCAUCAGCAAGAAUUUAGUACAGCAAACAUCAUUGUCCACCUUAUAAACUAGAAAGUUAAUGUGGAACACACUGAUUUCUAGACAGUAGUCAUUUGACCAGUAGGUAAGAGAUCAGUUAAGAGUUAAGGCAAGAAGAUAAAAUACAAGCAAACAAACAAAAGGAAAACACUGUAAGAAUGUCUGAGGAAAAGUUAUUUGGCUAGAUCUGUCAGAGAUUUUUGCAGCUCACAUUCAAACCCACCAGAGUGCAAUUACCAAAGAUCAGUCACACACGAUAAGAUGGCCUUAUGCAGAAGAGUGAAAUUAGAGCCAUCGCUAUCACCUUGCACAAAAUUUAAGGACAAAUGGCCCAAAGACCUCAAUUUGAAACCUGAAACACUGAACUUAUAGAAGAAAAUACAGGUAGUAUCCUCCAAGAUAUAGUUGCAGGAAAAGACUUUCUGAACAGGACUCCACUUGCCCAGGAAUUAAGGCCAUCAACUGGGCAGUGGAACAUAAUAUAACUGAAAAGCUUCUGCACAGCUAAAGAAUUAAGCCAGCAAAGAAGAGAUUCAUAGAGUAGGGGAGAAUCUUUCCCACAUAUCCAUCUGAUAGGGGAAUAAUAUCCAGAAUAUUAAGACAAAUAAUGAAGCAAAUAAAAGACCCAAUUAAAAAACAGGUCAUGUAUCUGAAUAGAGAAUUCCCAAAAUAAAUUAAAAUGCCCAAAAAACAUCUCAUAAAACUUUCAUCUUUGGAAGCAAUUAGGGCAAUAAAAAUCACAACUACUUUGAGAUUUCAUCUCACACAGGUCAGAAUGACGAGGACCUACAAAACAAAACAACCUAAAACACAUGCUGGAGAAGAUAUGUGGAAAGAGGAACUCCUAUUCACUGUUGGCAGAAUUGCAACCUGGUGCAGCCAGUCUGGGAAAUCAGUGUGGAGAUCUCUCCAAAAGCUAAAAUUAAAUAUGCCACAUAAGCCAUUUGUACCACUCCUUGGCAUAUGGCCCAAGGAACUUGAUUUCCAACUUAAAAGAUACUUGCUCAAACAUGCUCAUUACCCCUCUAUUCAUAGUGUCUAGGAAAUUGAAACAACCUAAUUUCCUUUAACUGAUGGAUGCAUAAUGAAAAUGUGUUACACACACAUACACACACACACACACACACACACACACACACACACACACAAUGGAAUAUUAUACAACUGGAAAGAAAAAUGAACCUGUGACUUUUGUAGGUGAAUACAUUGAACCGGAGCAAUUAUAGUGAAUGAUGUGAUGUCAGAUUUUUAAGAAGCAAUAAUAUCUCACAGUACGCUUCCUAAUAUGUUAAAUUGUAGCUUAUGCUGAGUGAGCUCAUGUCUGUGAAUUCCCUUCUUUGGGCUGUCUCACUCCAUUCUAGCUUACCAUCCUCUACUUACAAGCUUCUGCUGCCAUGGUUCCCAAGCUCCUGUUCCCACACAGUAACCAAAUAGGAGUAUGUCAUUGCCUAUAUCUGAGCAUUAUUUCUCUAAGACCCAACCAUAAUAAUCAACAUUUUGUCGAAUAGCUUCAGAGUGGAUGAUAAUGGAUGGAAAAGUACAGUAAGGGCAGCCAGUACUGUCAUACAGAAGGUCUACCAUUGUCUCAGAAGGAAAUGGUAGCCCAUGAGAUUUUAAUAGGUUUGUAUCUUAUACAAAAACAAAUUAUCCUUCACAGUAGCAAGGCCUUGAAAGUUGUAAAUCAAUCAUACUGGUUAGUUAUUGUCAAGCUGACACAAUCUGGGAAGAGAAAACUUCUAUUACAGAAUCACCACCAUCACAUUGGACUGAUUACUAAUGGGUGUGGGAGAGCUCAAAUCACUGUCAAAAGUACAAUGAGCUGGAUAAAAGUGCAAGCAGAUGAGCUUAGGUGUAUAAGGAAGGUGACUGAGCAAGUCACAGUGAGCAAGCCGGUGAGCAGCAUUCAUCUGUGGUUUCUGCUUCAAGCUCCUGCACUGGCUUUUUUCCAAGAUAGCAUAAAACUUAUAAGAUAAAAUAAACUCUUUCUUCCUGAA